rnacentral:tRNA from 1 species
GCUCUCAUCGUCCAACGGCCAGGACACCAGAUUGUCGAUCUGGGAAUGCGGGUUCGAUCCCCGCUGAGGGCGCCA